CACCUGGUAGCAUAGUUGGUAAUGCACCUGCUGUUAGUACUGCUAUUCUCGAUAACUUGUACAGGAGACCCUCGUUCGAACCGGGGCCGGGUGA